rnacentral:rRNA from 1 species
GACGAACGCUGGCGGCGUGCUUAACACAUGCAAGUCGAACGGAAAGGCCCUGCUUUUGUGGGGUGCUCGAGUGGCGAACGGGUGAGUAACACGUGAGUAACCUGCCCUUGACUUUGGGAUAACUUCAGGAAACUGGGGCUAAUACCGGAUAGGAGCUCCUGCUGCAUGGUGGGGGUUGGAAAGUUUCGGCGGUUGGGGAUGGACUCGCGGCUUAUCAGCUUGUUGGUGGGGUAGUGGCUUACCAAGGCUUUGGCGGGUAGCCGGCCUGAGAGGGUGACCGGCCACAUUGGGACUGAGAUACGGCCCAGACUCCUACGGGGGGCAGCAGUGGGGAAUAUUGCACAAUGGGCGGAAGCCUGAUGCAGCAACGCCGCGUGCGGGAUGACGGCCUUCGGGUUGUAAACCGCUUUCGCCUGUGACGAAGCGUGAGUGACGGUAAUGGGUAAAGAAGCACCGGCUAACUACGUG